GUGCCUCGGAUAUUUUCGCGCACCGAACCAAAAAUCGAGCUUUAAUGGCUCCAUCGAAGAAAUUAAAGAACCUGCCGGCUAUGCCAUAUGAGGUGCAACGCGACCAAGCUGCGGAUGAAGAUGGAGCGAAAGACUAUGGAUGAGUAUGCCAGGCUACUACUACCACAAUGCCUUCUACAAGGACCCAAGGUCCGAAGGCGACACCAGUUUAAGGUACGCGCUUGUCCCCAACGAACGAAGGACAAGUUGCUCAGUAUGCCAAAAGCGGAAGAGGAUGAUUCGCCCGAAGAGUUUCAGCAUGAAUAGGCAAAAUUGGGAAAGUUAUUUUCUCCGGUAACCUUCUACGCCUUUGCAAAGUACGCGGACAAGGAAACAAAACCGAAACAAAUAAGCACGGAAGAAGUCAAGCCUUCUACAUAUAUUCCCUGAGGCAAAUCCUGCUUUUAUGGCGAAGUUGCUAGCAUCUGGCUAUCCCGUUAACGAAACAGCAGUCAAGUUUUUAGCGGAGUAUGGUCGGAGAGGCAUAGGGAUCCGUGUACGUCGGACCAGAUAGAGCUACGUCGGAGCUCAGUUAAAGGUUGAGCUGGCCAACGCUUUCAGCAAUC